rnacentral:rRNA from 1 species
GACGAACGCUGGCGGCGUGCCUAAUACAUGCAAGUUGAGCGCUGAAGGUUGGUACUUGUACCGACUGGAUGAGCAGCGAACGGGUGAGUAACGCGUGGGGAAUCUGCCUUUGAGCGGGGGACAACAUCUGGAAACGAAUGCUAAUACCGCAUAAAAACUUUAAACACAAGUUUUAAGUUUGAAAGAUGCAAUUGCAUCACCCAAAGAUGAUCUCGCGUUGUAUUAGCUAGGUGGUGAGGUAAAGGCCCACCAAGGCGAUGAUACAUAGCCGAACUGAGAGGGGGAUCGGCCUAAUUGGGACUGGGACACGGCCCAAACUCCUACGGGGGGCAGCAGUAGGGAAUCUUCGGCAAUGGACGAAAGUCUGACCGAGCAACGCCGGGGGAGUGAAGAAGGGUUUCGGAUCGUAAAACUCUGUUUGUAGAGGAGAACGAUGGUGAGAGUGGAAAGCUCAUCAAGUGACGGUAACUACCCAGAAAGGGACGGCUAACUACGUG